rnacentral:rRNA from 1 species
AGCGAGAAAGAGGGGUUCGCCCCUCGAGUACAGCGGCGUACGGGUGAGUAACACGUGGAUAAUCUGCCCUCCGGUGGGGGACAACAACCCGAAAGGGUUGCUAAUACCGCAUUCGUCGGCGAGCUCUGCGGAGUUCGUCGGGAAAGGUGCCCUCUACUUGUAAGGUACCGCCGGAGGAGGAGUCCGCGUCCCAUCAGCUAGUUGGUAGGGUAAUGGCCUACCAAGGCAAAGACGGGUAGCUGGCCUGAGAGGAUGAUCAGCCACACUGGGACUGAGACACGGCCCAGACUCCUACGGGAGGCAGCAGUGGGGAAUAUUGGACAAUGGGCGAAAGCCUGAUCCAGCCAUGCCGCGUGAGUGAUGAAGGCCCUCGGGUCGUAAAGCUCUGUGGAGAGGGAAGAAUCCGUUCAGCAUCAGAUCCUGAACGUUGACGGUACCUCUUUAGCAAGCACCGGCUAACUCCGUGCCAGCAGCCGCGGUAAUACGGAGGGUGCAAACGUUGCUCGGAAUCAUUGGGCGUAAAGCGCACGUAGGCGGACCGCUAAGUCGGAUGUGAAAGCCCUCGGCUUAACCGAGGAAGUGCAUUCGAAACUGACGGUCUUGAGUAUGGAAGANGGUCNCGGAAUUCCCCGGNGUAGAGGUGAANNUCGUAGAUAUC